UGGGGAAUCUUGGACAAUGGGGGCAACCCUGAUCCAGCCAUGCCGCGUGAGUGAUGAAGGCCUUAGGGUUGUAAAGCUCUUUCACCGGUGAAGAUAAUGACGGUAGCCGGAGAAGAAGCCCCGGCUAACUCCGUGCCAGCAGCCGCGGUAAUACGGAGGGGGCUAGCGUUGUUCGGAAUUACUGGGCGUAAAGCGCGCGUAGGCGGACUGAUCAGUCAGGGGUGAAAUCCCGGGGCUCAACCCCGGAACUGCCUUUGAUACUGUCAGUCUUGAGUCCGGAAGAGGCGAGUGGAAUACCGAGUGUAGAGGUGAAAUUCGUAGAUAUUUGGAGGAACACCAGUGGCGAAGGCGGCUCACUGGCUCGAUACUGACGCUGAGGUGCGAAAGUGUGGGGAGCAAACAGGAUUAGAUACCCUGGUAGUCCACACCGUAAACGAUGAAUGCCAGUCGUCGGGUAGCAUGCUAUUCGGUGACACACCUAACGGAUUAAGCAUUCCGCCUGGGAGUACGGUCGCAAGAUUAAAAGCUCAAA
rnacentral:rRNA from 1 species